rnacentral:sRNA from 1 species
AACAGAUCAGUAUGGUGUAAGGUCAGUAAGAUAACAGAACAGUGUGGCUGUAAGAUCAGUAAAAUAACAGAUCAGUAUGGUGUAAGGUCAGUAAGAUAACAGAACAGUAUGAUAUAAGGUCAGUAAAAUAACAGAUCAGUAUGGUGUAAGGUCAUUAAAAUAACAGAUUAGUUUCUGUGUAGAUCAGAAAAAUACGAAAAAUAACAUAGCGUGGGUGUGAGGUCAGUAGAAUAACAUAACAGUAUGUGUGAGGUCAGCAGAGCAUAACAGUAUGGGUGUAAGGUCAGUAAAAUAACAGCUCAAAAUGGUGUAAGGUCAUCAAAGUAAAAGAUUAGUAUGGGUGUAAGGUCAGUAAAA